CACAAUGUCGACGGCCAGCGUGCCGCUCCUUGUAUCCUUGUCAAUUUGGGCAAGAGUAGGGCUGCUCCUCUGAGCGUGGACCCCGCAAGGCAACAGCAGAGCCAGGCAGAAGCACAACCUCACCGUCCUCAUGCUCGCAGCAAGGACAGGAGCGACCAGUGUGUCACGCAGCAGGACCUUCUAGUGGCUGAGAGUCCUGCACUACCCCGUCUUCACUGCUGUCCGUUUUCGCCGUUCCCCUUUCUCUGUUUGUCGCGUUCCCCCUCCCUUCUUUUAAUCUCAUUUCCUCCACACUCAUUGCUAUGUAUUUCUCCCAUCUAAAAAUAACACGAUCACAAUAAUUUGCCCAUAAUGACAUGGACAGUCAACACAAAGAAAAGUACCAUUAUCCAAAUGUACUAAUAAACCUCUGAUGCCAAAAAAGAGGACGUGUGAAGAGAGAUAUGAUCACUGCCGUAUUUAUGCAUUCAUCUGAUUCAUCAUGCAGAAGAGCAACAUAUCAAAUGUGAUUACAGUGACAAGACGGACCAUAGAUAUUAUCAUCAUUUAUAUGCAUGUUUUCCAAUAUUCCUUGGCGUGUUCACAUUCAUUUUCAGGUCUUAUAUGUUGAGGAUCAGUGUGUCAAUCCAAUAAAACACCUAUUAUUAAUCCAGAGCCACUGACAACUUAAAUUCAGCGUAGUAAAACCAUUAACACAUUGAAAAAAAGGCAUAAUGGACCUAUAGAGUCACUCAUUCUGUCUACUGGUUACUCGCCUGACUUACAAACAGGAACAUGGGUUCAAUUCCCACUCAGUGACGACGUGAGUGUGAAUGGUUGUCUGUCUUAUACGCCCUGUGAUUGACUGGCAACCAGUCCAGGGUGUAGUCUGCCUGUCGCCUGUGAGAGAGAGAGGAUCCAGCUCCUCGUGACCCUGAACAAAAUCACACUGACAAUCAAGAAGUCCUUGUCAGGUAGUCUCAUCUAAGUGAAUCACAAACUACAGAACUAACAUAACAAACCACACAAUACAUGAAAACAACAGACACAAUUUGGCUAACACCAAACCCAUGCUGGUUAUAAAAUAAAGGUAAAAUGGCUGAUGCCAACACAGAAGAA